rnacentral:lncRNA from 1 species
CGUACCCAUUGGGAACCAUGGAGUUGGUUCUCACCCCACGUGGUUUUGGGGUGUUACAGGUUCACACGUGAGCGGCGCAGCGGCGCGAGGCGAGGGCGUAGCAUCAUAGAUAGCGCCAUACCACCGAGACCAGAGAUAGCGGUACCCUGAGCUGGCCUCUACUUAGGGAUGUAAAGAAUGAAAAGAAUCAAGUUGUAAUAAUUAUGUUAAAUCGGAUUGUUUUUGGAAGUUAAGUGAAAGCUAAUGUAAGAAUCUAAUGAGAUUUGUGAUGUAAAAAUGUAUGAAUGUGAAUGCAUGUAAUAACAUAGGAUGUGUUAUGUUGUUUGAUACCUUCCAUUAUGCAAUCUUGAUUGAAAUGUGUUCCUGGUUGGAACUUCGCACAUUGUAUUUAUUGCUAUGCCUUGAACGUACAGGGGAGACUCUGUCCGCAGUACAGGGGAAACCCUGUCCGUUCGGCCAUCUGUUGGCGGCGCCGCAACCCGACCAAAUAGGCGGGUGGUCGCGGGGCGUGACAUACUGAGUUGAAGUUG